AUUGUUGUGAAAUUUUGGAAAUAAGUGCACCUUCAAACUGAGCUUCUAAUUGCUUAAAUUUCAAUAAAAUCAAAGAAAAAUUGAAUGUUUGGUUUAUUGUUAAGUGGAAGGAGGUUGCCUACCAUAGAAAUCUUGGUCACUUAACUUUGAAGGAGCAUAUUCUACAGCUUAGGUACCGGAUUAAAUUGAAGUUUAUUGAAGCAGGAGCGCCUUUAAGUUAAAUCUGCAAUAGGCUAAAAAUCAUUCAAUUUGAAUUUAUUCACGAUUUUUGGCAAAUUUUGGAGUAGAAAGAGAUUUGCUGCCUUUAAUUCUUGGGCGUUAUCAAGGUACCUUGGCUUUUAUCUCUCUUUAGUCCCACUUUUACUUUUAUUU
rnacentral:lncRNA from 1 species